UAUGGAAGCUGCAGGAACCAACCAUGUGGACAAAUGAAAAAAUACUUUUUGUCCACAAAUUGCAGCAAUCCAACAUAAACUUGGAGGUCUCUGUCUGGCUUAGAACAGCUGGCUAAGUCUGAUCGUUCCCCUCCAUACAGU
rfam:Tupaia chinensis contig122487, whole genome shotgun sequence.